ensembl:lncRNA
AUGUGUGAUGCAAAGGUGCUACAUGAUUAAACAGUGCAUCUGCCAGCUGUGAACUUCUGCAGCUCUGAUAAAUUAUGCAAGUCACUUGAUCCAUUCAGAUUUGACUCAGAAUAUUGGGUUGCACGUUAUUUUACAGUACGUGUACUAACGUACUUAUAGUGUACUUACAGUGUAUUUAUCUAAGAAGGUUCUGGUAACACAAGGUAACUACAUGGGGUAGGGUUAGAUUUAGGGGUACACUGUAAAAAAUAAUUCAGUGGCUUAGUAAAUUUCACAAAAAUAAAGAGCUAUAUUAACUUAAUAAAAUCUUUUGAAAUCAUUUAAGUGAUAUUUUGAGUGGGUCAGAUUAAAAAUAAUAAUUAAAAAUCCAACAAAUAAUUUCUCUAAAAUUUACAUAUAUUAUUUAAGUUUAUGUAAUGAAAAUAAAUAAGUAUUUAACUAACUAAUUAUAUUUUUAAUAUACCUUCAAUAUUUCUGGUGAAUUCUAAUAGAAAUAUUUGAUAAUUAUUUACUUGUACUGAUCUGUUUUAGAAACUAAAAUUAUUAAGUAUUUCCUACCAAUUUUCCUAAAUAAAGUUCCAGCUUAAUAAAUGACAGUUAAAUAAAUUGAGUAAAUUUCGCGGCUAAAGUGAUCACGUGUGCAGCUCCGCAGGAAAAAAAAAAAAUCUGCUUUCCUCAGCAGCGACGUCGACUAGCCAUACACCUCACAACUCCUGGUAAGUAACGUUAGUCAGCUAAUCCUACUUACGUUUGUAACACUUUAUUAAAAAGUUAAUAAUUAUUAAGCAUUUCCUAACAAUUGUCUUUGUAUUUUACGUCAUAUUCAACAAGUUUCGUAGCUUAAUCGAAGUCACCUGAAGGACGGCUUUCCUCAGCAACGGCAAGGCCCGCACUCCUCUCAUAUUGUGGUACGUUAUAUAAUUUAUCCAGCUAGUUAAUACUAAUUAUGUUUGUAAUGUUUAAUUCAGAAGUUAAUUAUUAAGGAUUUCCUAACAAUUGUGUUUGUAUUUUGCGUCAUCUUAAGAAGUUUAACAAGUUUCGCGGCUCAAACAAGAGGCACCUGUCACUGAAGGACUGCUUUUCUCAGCUACGACGUGAACAGCAUCACUCGAAUUUCCUGGUUCAGCUGAUCUACCCAUCUUCGUACAAGCAGAGUUGGCAGAGGAGGUCAUAAAAAUCUACAUCCUUCGGGACAAUGAUGGGGCAGUCAGCGAUGUAAUCUUGGGAAUCACAGCAGAGCCUGCUGCCAUCUUUUGGGAGUCACAUUGGAUUUGAGAUAUCCCAAGACCCACAAAUACAGGUCCUUCUCCAAAAAUUAGCAUAUUGUGAUAAAGUUCAUUAUUUUCCUUAAUGUAAUGAUAAAAAUUAAACUUUCAUAUAUUUUAGAUUCAUUGCACACCAACUGAAAUAUUUCAGGUCUUUUAUUGUUUAAAUACUGAUGCUUUUGGCAUACAGCUCAUGAAAACCCAAAAUUCCUAUCUCAAAAAAUUAGCUUAUUUUUACCUUUAUUUUUAGCUUUAUUAUUUACCAAUAAAAGAAAUAUUAUUUACCAAUAAAAGAAAAGUGUUUUUAAUACAAAAAAGUCAACCU